rnacentral:hammerhead_ribozyme from 1 species
GGAUUGCUGAAGAGUUCAAAACUAGGACGAAACAGCUGUUCAGUAC